GGCGGUAAGCAAAUCCAGCAACAUUUUUACAUCCAGAAUUUUAAAAUGAAUGUACACAAGUGUAGAAGUGACUGGUUGAAAAAUUAUUUGCAGUAGAAUACUGUUUUUUGUCUAUGAUAGCGGAUAUCCGCAGAAUGUUGUAAGUUAUUUAAUGUAAUGAUCAAUCAUUGUAGAUCAUAACUUAACUUAGAAAACAUGAAAGUGAAGGUAAA
rnacentral:lncRNA from 1 species